CGUGUACUUGUGCGGUAGGAAUGCGAUACACUGCCCCCCCUGCCACUCUCACAGCAAAUGAUUUCCUCGGCUUCUCCGAUGCAUUGAGAUGUCGUUGCACUAGCGUGAUGGUCGCACCACUGUCUCUUAAUCCCCGUGCUGUCUUGCCGUUAACCAUGACCAGUUGACAAUGGCGCUUCCGAUUGUCUGUGAUGGUGGAUUGUACCAUGAGGGCUUCAUAAAGGGUGCCCAAUGGAUCUUCCUGACU